GAGUUGAAGACUUCUCUCCGCCGUGGUAUUACGUGGUAUACGCAUGACUAAUACGAAAUAACGGUUGGUUGUGCGUAGUUACGUUAUAAAUAGUUAAUAAUAGUUAUAAUAGUUUUGCACAUAUUGGUGCAUUUCACGCCUGUCCAGGUUGUAGUACGUGGGUUACGUAUCUACACUUUUAAGAAAAUCUCGAGCAGGGGCAAAGUGCUAUCGAAGCAAAGAAAGAAGAAAAAAAGAAGAAGAAGAAGAAGAAUUUCUGAGUUUAUUUUGCGGAAGACAAUUGGUAUCUUCAACCAUGGCCAGUGAUGAAAAUAACUUUNAUAGAGAGUUGCAUGAAUUAUCUUUAACAGAAAACGAAGAAUUGAAAAAACUACAAGAACAAGUUCUUUUUCUACAAAACAAAAUAAAAGAACUUGUAGAAAAAGAUCAACAAAUGGAUAUACAAAAAGCAGGAUCUUCAACUCAAGAACAUGAUCCAGAAUCAAAAAAUAAAACAAACAUUCCAAAAAGAUGGGCCAGCGCAGGAAAAACUCGAGCUUUUUAUAAUCGUGGUCGUGGUCGUGGUCGUGGUCGUGGUCGUGGUCAUGGCCGUGGACGUGGAGGUGGCCGUACAAUAAUCCAAUAUUAUUAAAUGUGGAACUCGUCGGAGAAAAAGUUUGACUUCAAUAGACCUAUCAUCAACAGAUCCUUAUAUAUUAAUCAUUUAAAUAUAUCCUUUAAAUUUAAGGGGAUCCUAAAGUGACGGUCGAACCUCGUCGUUUUAUCGAAUUUGGCAUCGUAGUGAUAUUCACUUAAUAAAAAGUUAUGCAGUUUCUACGUAAAACACAAACUGCAUCUUGGUUUCGGGAAACAUAAAGAACAAUAUAGAACUCUCAGAAAUGUGUUUAGAAGCUUACUAUAAAUAAAUAAUGUGCUGGAAAUAUUCCAAUAUUCUUCUGACCAGCACACUAUUUAUUCAUACUAGGCUUCUAAACGCAUUUCUGAAAGCUCUAUAUUGUUCUUUAUGUUGUCUCGAAGCUAAGAUGCACUUUGUUUUCUAUCUACGUACAAACUGCAUAAUUUUGUAUAUUAAAAUACUACGAUCUAACGCCAAAUAAAAAAACAGAUCUACUUUAGGAUCCCCUUAAAAGUCAUGAUUUCAAUAUGUUUAUAUAUUAUUAAAUUAGUUUUUUUUGUUUAUAUGACAAACAAAGCGAUAAUAGAGAGUUUGCCAUAAACGCAUAACGUAUCUUCACGUUAUAAGACAACGUUAUAGGACGAAGUAUCACACAUACAUACCACAUUUCAUAAGAUAAAGAAGAGAUGCAUAUUGAAGAAUAUUCGCAAUAUGUUAUUAAAAAAUAAAACAUAGUAUAUUUCAUUAUCACACGUAAGCGACAAGUAAUUACAAGUAAUUAUCUAUGUAUAAAUUUUUUUUUUAAAGUUAAUAUUAUCCGCCUGUAUAACGUUUCCUUUUAUAAGAUUAAAGAAGAAGGGAUGUAUAUUGAAUAUUCGCGAUAUGUUAUUGAAUAUUUAUUUAAAAAGAUAACACUUAUGUGACUAAAACAGUAUAUUUCAUCACACGUAAGCGACAAAUAAAUUUUGGUUUUAUAAUUACAGACUGCUACUUGCCACUAAGUGUUAAUUUAAAAAGCCAUCCGAAAAGUCAUUGUAUAUUUUUUGAAGGCAUAAUAAUUUACAAGUUAAUAUUAUUCGCCUGUAUAACGUUUUCAAUCACAUUUUUAAAAUAUACAGUUUUGCAAUAAAAUUAUUCUUUUUUGUACCUUUUAUAACAUAGUCGUCUUCGUCAAAUUUAUCAACAAUACAUUGGUAAACAAUAUUGAGUAGUAGUGGACAAUAUUGGGAAUGGUAGUUUCUGAA